GAUGAACGCUGGCGGCGUGCCUAAUACAUGCAAGUCGAGCGAACAGACGAGGAGCUUGCUCCUUUGACGUUAGCGGCGGACGGGUGAGUAACACGUAGGUAACCUACCUAUAAGACUGGGAUAACUUCGGGAAACCGGAGCUAAUACCGGAUAAUAUUUCGAACCGCAUGGUUCGAUAGUGAAAGAUGGCUUUGCUAUCACUUAUAGAUGGACCUGCGCCGUAUUAGCUAGUUGGUAAGGUAACGGCUUACCAAGGCAACGAUACGUAGCCGACCUGAGAGGGUGACAGGCCACACUGGACCUGAGACACGGUCCAGACCCCUACGGGGGGCAGCAGUAGGAAAUCUUCCGCAAUGGGCGAAAGCCUGACGGAGCAACGCCGCGUGGGUGAUGAAGGUCUUCGGUUCGUAAAACUCUGUUAUUAGGGAAGAACAAACGUGUAAGUAACUGUGCACGUCCUGACGGUACCAAAGAAGAAAGCCACGGCUAACUACGU
rnacentral:rRNA from 1 species